rnacentral:rRNA from 1 species
UACGAAGGGGGCUAGCGUUGUUCGGAAUUACUGGGCGUAAAGCGCGCGCAGGCGGUCCUUUAAGUCGGGGGUGAAAGCCCAGAGCUCAACUCUGGAACUGCCUUCGAAACUAGAGGACUUGGGUACGGGAGAGGUGAGUGGAAUUCCGAGUGUAGAGGUGAAAUUCGUAGAUAUUCGCAAGAACACCAGUGGCGAAGGCGGCUCACUGGCCCGAUACUGACGCUGAUGCACGAAAGCGUGGGGAGCAAACAGG